GGCUCUAUAGUGUAGAGGUUAUCACCUCGGAUUCUGAUUUGAAUCGGUUUAUCCGGAUUCGAACCAGAUUCCGGUAACGCCGGUUCGAGUCCGGCUAGGGCCU